rnacentral:tRNA from 1 species
GACGCGGGUGGCGCGGCCGGUGCGGGCGCGGCGGGCCUGCCAGGGCCGCCGCACGUGGGCGACCUCGACGUCGAGGCGCUCGGCGCGCAUCAGCGUGG